AUACGGAGGGGGUUAGCGUUGUUCGGAAUUACUGGGCGUAAAGCGCGCGUAGGCGGAUUGGUAAGUUAGAGGUGAAAUCCCGGGGCUCAACCCCGGAACUGCCUUUAAUACUGCCAGUCUUGAGUUCGAGAGAGGUGAGUGGAAUUCCUAGUGUAGAGGUGAAAUUCGUAGAUAUUAGGAGGAACACCAGUGGCGAAGGCGGCUCACUGGCUCGAUACUGACGCUGAGGUGCGAAAGCGUGGGGAGCAAACAGGAUUAGAUACCCUAGUAGUCC
rnacentral:rRNA from 1 species